GGGCACAUGGUGUAGUUGGUUAUCACAUCCGCUUAGCAUAUCUUCGUUGUCUAGCUUGCGGGGGGUGCUGGGUUCAAUUCCCAGUGUGUCCA